CUCAAGAAAAACUUUUACUACUGUCCUACCUCAAACUGGCUCCCAGGCUCUUAAUACUAUCAGAAUUGUAGAACAAGACACUAUUAUAAUUCAGAUGUGCACAAAAUAGCUGGUGAACCUUAGGAGGAAGUUAGUCACUAUUUGGAAGAUGCAGAAAAGAACAUUACAAAAAUAAUGGCUUGGCUGAAUCUUGAAGAUUGAGAUAUGGAUGUGACUGGUAUCAAAGAGGGAAAAUUCAGGCAGAAAACUGAUGAAGUGAAUAAGAAGCUCUGACCAAAAGGAACAUUUUGCAGGAAAUAUAACAGUAGUAAAGGUGAGGAAAUUGAAAAUCAGUAAGGUUAAGUGAUUUUCCACCUGCCCCAGAUGGUAAGGAGUGCCAUUAAGCCACAGACUCUUCUGGAUUCUUAUUUGGAUUCACAAUACCUUAUUAAAGGACAAGUCCCAAAAAAGUUAGAGCCAAUGGAGGACUCCAAGCUGCUCUGUGGAAGGGUGGAGCCCGUAUAUGGAAGGAGCAUGGGUUUUCUUCCUAACCCAGUGGACUGUGAAUAUGAGUGACAAAUAAACUGCAAUUGUGUUA